GAUGAACGCUGGCGGCGUGCCUAAUACAUGCAAGUCGAACGAGGUGCUUUUGUAGCAAUACGAGAGUAUCCUAGUGGCGAACGGGUGAGUAACGCGUUGGUGACCUGCCCCGAAGUGUGGGAUAACAGUUCGAAAGGAUUGCUAAUACCACAUGUGGUCAUUGGAUUUAGAAACCGAUGACUAAAGCAGCAAUGCGCUUUGGGAGGGACCUGCGUCCCGUCAGCUAGUUGGUGAGGUAACGGCCCACCAAGGCUACAACGGGUAGGGGGCCUGAGAGGGUGGCCCCCCACAAUGGAACUGAAACACGGUCCAUACACCUACGGGUGGCAGCAGUAGGGAAUAUUGCACAAUGGGCGAAAGCCUGAUGCAGCAACGCCGCGUGAGCGAUGAAGGCCUUCGGGUCGUAAAGCUCUUUUCUGGGAGAUGAGAAAGGACAGUAUCCCAGGAAUAAGUCUCGGCUAACUACGUGCCAGCAGCCGCAGUAACAC
rnacentral:rRNA from 1 species